UACCAUACCCCGAGAAGUUAUGUGUCUCUCAUCAUUACUGUAUUUGAACAUUUCUCAAAACAAUUUCACCGGUUCUCUUCCAAUGGAAAUUUGAAAUUUAAAAAAUCUCGAGGAACUAUAUAUUUCUGAGAACAUGUUAUCUGGUGAAAUUCCAAGCAGUCUUGGUAGCUGCAUAAAAUUAAGGUUGUUGUACAUGGAGGCAAACAAAUUCUCGGGAAUCCUAACUUGGUCUUUAAGUAACUUGAGAGGUAUGGAGGAAAUAGAUAUUUCUCAAAACAAUUUCUUAGGAAAAAUCCCCAACUAUUUUGAGGAUUUUGUCUUCUUGCGUAAAUUGAAUCUGUCAUUCAAUGAUUUUGAAGGAGUGGUACCAGAAAUAGGCAUAUAUGGGAAUGUUACUGCAAUUUCUAUGAAGGGAAACAAUAAGCUUUGUGGAGGUGUAGCUGAACUGGAGCUACAAAGUUGCAACUCCAAAGGGUUUAGAAAGAAAAGAUUUUCUCUUACCAUGAUUUUAAUAAUCUUGUUAGCUUGUGGGCUUCUAGGACUAAGUCUGAUGUUGUGUUUACUCUAUCGUUGUUCGUUUAGAAAGAGAACAAAUGCAUCUUCUUUCAGGUUAUUAGGGAACUCGUUUCUGGAACUGUUGUACCAAAGUCUACUUAAAGCUGCUGAUGGGUUCUCGCUAGCGAAUUUGAUUGGUAUCCGUGGCUUCGGUUCAGUAUAUAGAGGAAUUCUUGAUCAUGGAGGUAAAGUUGUUGCUGUUAAGGUACUAAAUCUAGACUUCGCUGGAGCUUUGAAGAGUUUCACAACGGAGUGUAAAGCCUUGAAGAACAUCAAACACCGAAAUCUUGUAAAGGUGCUCACGGCAUGUUCAAGUGUUGACUAUCAAGGCAAUGAUUUCAAAGCUCUGGUAUAUGAGUUCAUGGUCAAUGGAAGCCUAGAGGAGUGGCUGCAUUCGAAUGAGAAUGGACAUAGGGUGCGCAAUGAGUCAAGAAGAUUAAAUCUUCUUCAGACGUUAAACAUAUUGAUGUCGCCUCUGCACUUGAUUAUCUCCACCAUCAUAGCUCAAAACCAAUAGUUCACUUCAUGUGAUUUGAAGCCCAACAACGUUCUUCUGGAUGAAGAAAUGACAGGACAUGUAGCUGAUUUUGGGCUAGCAAGAUUCUUUCGAGAUACUACAUGUACUUCUUCUGCAAAUCAAUCAAGUUCCAUUGGCAUAAGGGGGUCUAUUGGUUAUGCGGCUCCAGAGUAUGGCAUGGGAAAUGAAGUGUCAACAUCCGGUGAUGUGUAUAGUUACGGAAUCCUUAUAUUGGAAAUGUUUACAGCCAGGAGACCAACUGAUAGCAUGUUUACUGAUGGUACGACUCUCCACAACUUUGCUAAGAUAGCUCUGCCUGAACAAAUAGAGAGCAUUGUUGAUCCAACACUGCUUCAACAAAGAGAACAAGGGCAGGCAAGCUUAAGCAUAAAAAAUGGUCGUAGCCAAAGUUUUGCUGGAAGUCACAAGGUUCGGAAGAUCUUGAUUUCAAUACUUAAUGUUGGGAUUGCCUGUUUAGAAGAACUUCCUAGAGAUCGACCGACGAUGAAUGAGGUUCUUACUCGAUUGCAUGCGUCCAAGAAGACUCCUGUUGGAGAUGGAAAUGGAUCAGAGUUUAAGUGUGACUAUGACUAGGUAAUUGAGGUGUGAUUGGCCGUAAAAUAUCUCGUGGCUUAAAAUUUUUCAUUGCAAGUGAUGCUGCAUAAUUGCUUUAGCUGCUUCUUAUGGAUACCGUCCUUCCCUUUAUUUUAUGGGUUUUUUGUGCGAAAAAUGCAACGUAUGUCCUAUAAUUGUCCUUUCAGUUUGCUAAAUAAAAAGUCCUUUUAGAAGGCGACA